rnacentral:rRNA from 1 species
GACGAACGCUGGCGGCGUGCUUAACACAUGCAAGUCGAACGGAAAGACCCUGCUUUUGUGGGGUGCUCGAGUGGCGAACGGGUGAGUAACACGUGAGUAACCUGCCCUUGACUUUGGGAUAACUUCAGGAAACUGGGGCUAAUACCGUAUAGGAGCUCCUGCUGCAUGGUGGGGGUUGGAAAGUUUCGGCGGUUGGGGAUGGACUCGCGGCUUAUCAGCUUGUUGGUGGGGUAGUGGCUUACCAAGGCUUUGACGGGUAGCCGGCCUGAGAGGGUGACCGGCCACAUUGGGACUGAGAUACGGCCCAGACUCCUACGGGAGGCAGCAGUGGGGAAUAUUGCACAAUGGGCGGAAGCCUGAUGCAGCAACGCCGCGUGCGGGAUGACGGCCUUCGGGUUGUAAACCGCUUUCGCCUGUGACGAAGCGUGAGUGACGGUAACGGGUAAAGAAGCACCGGCUAACUACGUG